rnacentral:lncRNA from 1 species
AUGCCGUUUCGUCCGUGUCCUUCUGGAUGUGGUCGUUUCCUGUCUUCGGUUGACGGUCACGAGCGUUGUCUGCAGUGUCUGGGCGUCCAACACGCUGAGGCUGCGCUCGUGGAUGAUUCAUGCGUCUACUGUGGGCGUAUGAACAUGGCAGCGCUGCGAUCGCGUCUCUCACUCCUCAAGGGGAGUGCAGCAGACCCCUCUGUCGCCACCCAUCCCGGUCUCUCUGGCUCGAGCAGAGGGCCGCCGGCUGGCGCUCUGGGAGAUCUGAGGAUUACAGUGAGAGCUUCUCCGCCGGGCCACGCCCCACGGACCUCUCACUCCUUGCGCAGCGCCUGUCCCGUGCAGCUGCCGAUUGAUUCUGCUGGGCCGUCUCACAGCGGUCCCAGCGUGUCUUUCGGUGCGCCGCCCGAAGACCAGAUGUCGAUUGCUGCAUCGGGGGAUGGGUUAUCGACCUCUGAGGAUGAGGGUUCGGCGGGGCUGCCCCCCUUGGGUGUUGUCGCUGCUGCCGACUCUGACUUGGAGUUGUCGGCCAUGCUUGCCCGGGCAGCCGUGAGUAUCGGGCUGGAGGUGACUACACCGCCCAGUCCCGAGCCCUCGCGGCUGGAUGAUUGGUUUCUCGGCGCGGGACGCGGCUCACAACCUCGUUCUGCUCCGGUGCCUUUCUUCCCGGAGGUGCAUGAAGAGGUGACGAAGUCGUGGACGGCCCCUUUCACGGCCAGAAGACGCUCGUCUCCCUCUUCCAUCCUCACCACCCUCGACGGCGGGGCAGCCAGGGGGUACGUAGAGGUUCCCCAGGUGGAGAGGGCGGUUGCGGUGCACCUGUGCCCGCAAAACGCCGCCACUUGGAGGAAUCGUCCGCGUCUUCCGUCCAAGGCCUGUAAGCUGUCGGCCGCACUCGCUGCCAAGGCUUACAGUGCUGCGGGCCAAGCUGCCUCUGCCCUGCAUGCCAUGGCCAUCCUGCAGGUACACCAAGCCGAGGCACUCAAAGCAAUGCACGAGGGUGGUACCAACCCGGGGUUGAUGCAGGAGCUGCGCACGGUGACUGACUUCGCCUUACGGGCGACGAAGGUCACGGCGUGGUCCCUCGGGAAGGCGAUGUCCACGCUGGUGGUCCAGGAGCGGCAUCUCUGGCUGAACCUGGCUGAGAUGAGGGACAUGGACAAAGCUCGCUUUCUCUGUCGAGCGGCCAGUGGCACCCACAUUUUCAAUAAAAGAGCAAAUUCUACUUCCUCCGAUUCGCAAGGCUCGUGGGCUGACAAUGAGCGACGCACAGCUUCCUCACUCUCACCCACGACGCCCCCUUUCGCCAGCGGGCAAGAGGUCGCGGUUCAGAGACGCAACACCUCUCCACUCGUCUCUGGCCAGUUCCUCCAGGAACACGGGGAGUGUGGUUGUGAUGACCCAGGACGCAGUGCCUUCUGGGCCUUCCGGCACGACUCCCCAUUGCUGCACCACUGCGGGUAUGUCGACUGUCCCCUUGGUGCCACUUGUACGGAGUCUGGUAGCGUGGCUUGCGCUGCCCAACCCGUCACGCUGGCUCAUCCGGACGGUCCGACUCGGCUAUGCGAUUCAGUUCGCCCGGCGACCCCCCAAGUUCAAUGGCGUGCUCGAGACUUCGGUGGCAGUCCAGGACGCCCCUGUCUUGCGUGA